CGCUGGAAGGAAGUCCGCAGCGCUGUGCGUCCCGGGACCAGGAGGGACAAGGGGGACGGAAGACGGAGGACAGAGAAUGUAAGCAGCUGCAUAUCCGAACGUGCUUAGGAAGAAGUAUAGGAGGACAGAUGCUGAACUGUUGGUCAGAGUCGGAGAACAGAGGCCUGCUUUGACCUGGGGACUGGACGCGGGGCCUCGCAGUGAGCUACCUUCCCAGCCCAUCUCCUUCUUUAUUCUGAGACGGGGUCUCCCUAAGUCACUGAGUUGCCCAGGCCGGGCCUCAGCUUGACCUUUUAUCCUAUGACCUUUCAUAACAAGCCUAUAUAGUUUUAUAGCUAACGAGAGCAAGAGGCGAGGGUGGGGGAGGGCUCAGAACAAGCCUAUGGACAGUGCCGUGUGCAUGUGCGCACGUGCGCGCGCGCACACACACACACACAUGCACGCACACACGCACACCAAGCGCACCAAGCGCACCCGGCCCCCAGGGGGCACACCGGCUAAAGAGGCAAAACGCGGGCGACCCUAGCUCAGGCCCGCUCCCUUGGCUUGUGUGCCCUCAGGCUCUCAGCUCUCUCGGGCACUUGUCCCAUGUGGACGAGCCCAGUGUCUCCUCCCUGGACCUCCAGUACCUCCGCCAGGUACUCACAAAGCAGGCCCGUGGGCGCUAGGAGAGCGGGCAGUUCCUGGUGGGAGGCACUGGCCUAACCAUGAAGAUGGUUUUUCCCUUUUUGGGGCACUGGAGUGUCUGUCUCCAGGGCUGAGGUUAUCCUCGGAUUUCCUGUGAACUCUGGUUUGACCGAGGAACCACCCUAGGACAUCAGCCAAGCCAAACUAUGAUCCUGUUCUGGCAUUUGGUCAUUGGCUGGGCUUGGACGAGUUAUUUUAACCUUUCCAAGCCUCAGUCUCCUCAUCUGUGAGAUGGGAAUAAUAAGACUAUUGUGAAACUCAAAGGUGAUCAUAUCUAAGGAACUCUAAAAGCUUUGGAAGGUAAACAAGGAAGUGAGAUCACGAAAGUCAGGAUCCCUGCUUCCUCCAGGUGGGGACAGUGGGGUUGGGACCAGGAGAACACCCAAGGGUUUCUGGGAUGCUGGUAAUACCUACCUUGCCCUGGGCAGUGGAAACACGGGCGUUUGAUUUGUAACUAUUUAUUAAACUAUAUGUAUACAUAUUUAACGCAUGUGUGUUCUAUUUCACAAUGAGAGCAGAGAAGGCACACACCUUGGAAAACGUCAUGCUCGGUUUAGAUAUGAGGUAGCGUCGGGAAGCACGGAAUCCAGUCUCUGUAGCCUCUGGGACUCUCACUCUUGCCCGGUUUCUCAGGAGACGGAAGCGGGUGGACAGCAGUAGCACUGCGGCCUGCGUUAGCUGCGUGGCCAGGACCCACUGCGUACAGACUCAGUUAUAACGCAGGCCAGUGCUGCUUCCUUGCCGGGGAUGCCUCGCAGGGCAGAGGCGCCUGCGGGGUGCGGAUCACCUGGGGACAUUCUUAAAGAAGGCCGUCCGUACACCCAGAACAGCUUCGCCUUCCCAGGCCCUUGUGCCGCAGACUGCUGAGGACGACAGGCCCGUCUUCCCGCCCCAACUUCCUGGCUGGAGUCGGAGUCAUCCUUAUGCACACCAAGCUGCCUGCACCCCAAGCAGCCCCUCUGCUACACCCACCACCACCCCGUUUUCUCCCACUGUGUGGCCUUGGUCCUCAGGCUCACACCUUCUUUUGCUUGUCAGGAACCCUGGAAAAGGACCCAGGCGUUCUCAGCUCCUAUAUUCCACCUUUCACCCCACCGCUGCGGGCUCCCCCAGACUCCAGGGAACGCUCCGCUGCCUGCAUCUUUCAAGACCCCCAAAGCCAGGUCUGCUCAGUGGCCUCACCCCAAAUGCUUGCUCUGGCUGCUCAGCCUCCCCACAGCAAGGUGGAGGGAGCCCCCAGGAGGAGGCAGGACAAGGAGGGCGGGCUCUCUGCCACCCAGGCCUGCGACCCCAUGCUGAGCCCCCCACUGGCUCCAGGCAGCCCUGCCAUCUGAGGCCACAGGAAUGUCCGUCCGUCCGUCCGUCCAGCCCAGGCAGUGCCUGGUGACCGUGCACUCCGCCCUCCCCCGCCGGGCUUCUCCCUGCCUCUCUCUGACUCCGCUUCUGUCUUGACUCUGGGAUUUAGCUUCCCCGCUGUCCAGGGUGCUCCGAGUCCGUGUCCACAACCCUCCCGGGCAGCCGGGGGCAGCAGGAGCCUGCCUUCCACGCGUGGGCGGCUGGUGGGGCCUGCUCGGGAGGCCUGUCCCGGGAAGGCGGCUGAAGAGAAGACUUCCCCGGAGCCCUGCAGCCCGAGGGCCCGGAGGCAGAGCCGGGCUGAGGGGAAAGAGGAAACGGAGGAGAGCUGGGGAGCGGGGGCAGGGGUAGUGGAAGAGGCUGAGGGAAGUGAGAGCUGCUGGGUGAAUGAGGAGUCCCUGGGCGGGCAGGGCUGCCUGCGGCCUUCCGCGGUCAGAGCGGAGGAGGAAGCUGAGUUCUAGAGAAGACAGGGUCUUGGGUGAAACCGAGGUGGACUGCAGGGAGCGGUACCGACGUUAGGAAGCUCCUGCCUGCGUCUGAGCUCAGUCCUGCCUGCUGCAAACCUAGCUCCGUCCUGUAUGUUUACUCGGGCACCCUCAGAAUCUGAGCAGAGCACAGAGUGCGAAGCAGCCCAAGAGGUGACUGUGAGGGGCACAGAGCCCCCCUCGGCCUGUGAGGCCCCGGAGUGCCCCUUCCCUGCCCCAGCCACCCGGUAGCUCCCCUGGCACGGCCCGCAGACCAAGCUGUGGGCAGCAGUGCUCCAAGCCGUGGGGACAGGCUUCCUUUCACAAGCGUAUUUGUUAUUCUCCCCCACCUCUCCACCCCUUCCCCACCAGCUGCUUAAAAUAUUUUCAAACAGAAAAAUCCAACCACAGCUGGAAACCAACCCUAAAGUUAGUCCGGAACGUGGGAGCUGCCAGAGAAAAUUGCCGGGGCUCAGGCAGGACUGUGGGUGGAAGAUUCUCGGCCACAGAGACACAGGUCACUCUGCUGGGGCCUGCAGGGGACACACAGACCAGGGACGGGGACGCGAUCCUCCUCCUUCCACGAGCGCUCGGUCAGUGGAGACACCGGGGACCGGGCCCUGCCCGGGACAUGAACUGGCUGAAUAAAAGCGUGACGGGCUUAAAGAGGUGAGGCGCGGGCAGAGACACUCCCACGGCAUUGCACACACUGCCGAGAGUUACUGCCAGCAAGGCCUUGGCCUGGGCCCUUUAUCUGCCCCGGCCAGGGCCCAGUCAUGUCUCAGGAGUCCCACUGAGCGGAUGCCCAAACCUUUAUUCACAGCGGCCUCCGUAACUCCUGCAUACAACCUGCCUAUAUCUUCCCAGUCCUCUCUGUGGUACGUAGGACACCGAAUACAGGCUAAAUGUGACAGAAAGAGUUGGUGCCCUGUGUUUUUUAGGGGAUAAUGACAAGGAAAAAGUCUGCCCAUGUUCAGGUGAAAUUUUUUAAAAAGUUUUUGCUCAGUGGUUGAUUGAAUCCAUGAACCCAGCGGCCAUGGGUACAGAGGGCCUACCAUAUUUUUUUUAAAAAUACCUAAUUUGAAAAAGAUGCAUCUGUACUGAAUGUGAGCAGCCUCUUUUUCUUGUUAUUAUUUCCUAAACAAUACAGGAUAACAACUGCUUAUGUGGUGUUUACAUUAAGCAUUGUGUGUAAUCUAGAGAUGGUUUGAAUGUGUACACAAGGAUGUGCGUAGGUUCUACGCAGUUAAUAUAAUUCCUGUGCCAUUGUGCUUAAGGGACCUGGGCAUCCUCAGGUGUUGGUACUGUGGAGGUGCUGGAACCAAGGCCCUGUGGUCACCAGGGGCCGACACGAGGAUCCAGAGAGAUGGCCCCUGGCAGAGGUCAGCCUCCACCUCCAGCAUCUCCACAGAGAAGAUGAUGUGCAGCCACGUCUGCGGGGCUCUGCAGCCCUGACUUGGGGGCAGAGCCCAAGCCUUAGAUGGGAAGAAAGACGAAGAGGGGCAGAUUUGGGAGCCAACAGGCCGCUCCCAGAGACAGCACCCAGCACUCAGCAGGCUGUCCUCACAGCAGCCCAGCGCCCACCGGGGGCAGCGGCCCAAGGAGGCCCAGCCUCGGUGGAACAGUACCUCAGGCUCUGGCUCCCCCUGGGGCGCCGGGCCUGCUUCUCCUCUCCCUGCUGCCGGCCACCCACAGUUCUCUCACUCACUGUUCAUCCCGGCCCCUCGCGAACCUGUUCACAGGGGAGAAUGCAGGCAAAAGCCACACGCUCCGAACUCUUCAGAACACAAGUCCCAGGAGGCAUCUAGUGUAGACGGAAGUCCCGGGUGACCCUGUUCGGCAGGGUGGCCGCACAGCCCUGGGUCCCCUGGGAGGUGGGGUGGGGCAUGGAGAACCGCACCCCUGCCCUCCUUGUGUGCACCCCCUGGUCUCUACAGCCUUUCCUGGGCAUGUGCACCCCCGGGCCUUGCUCCCUCUGGACCUGCUGGCUUUGCUUCCUUCCUCUCCUGACAGCCUCCUGAGACCAGGGCGCUCACCAUGCUUCCCCAGGCCCCACGUCACCUGCCAGAGAGUGCCGGAGACUAACGCGGGAGUGGCUGCAGGAGGGCUAGGGCACUAGUGUGGCCGGUCUCAUGUCCACCCCCGACGCGAGCCGGGAAGGGCUGCGGGGCAGAAUCUGUGGUGAUCACAGCGAGGAAUGUCACAGUAGCGAAUGUCCGCUCGCCGACAGGCACUGCUGUAAGGGGCCUUUGUGGGUGAACUUAUCUGACGGUUUAACAACCCUCCCAGCGGGGACUCCGAGGCAGAGACGGGGGCAAGGACCGCACGAGGUCACACAGCUAGUGAGGGGCUGAGGAGGACCACGUCCACGCCUCUGGGCCCCAGAGCCGGCGGCUGUAAGCGCUGACAGGGUCCCCACUUUUUCCACCAAAGGGGAACUGCGGGGGGUGGGGCCACGUCUUGCCCAUCGGUGUCCCAGGCCUGGCAUGGGUACUGGCAGCGAGCGCAAGGCUCCUGGCUCCUUGGGGAUGGGGCUGGCCUUGACUGGCAAGGGGUGAGGAGGAGAAGCACAGAGCCGGAGCUGUGAGCCCCCCACCACCCCGGGCUCGUGAUGCAGUGGGUGCAGGAAUCCCAGCCCCCUCUCAGAUCUGCAGCUGUGCUCCCGCCACAGCCCCCAGCUGCCAGCAUCUACCUGCUCCAGGUGGGCCUUACCUGGGGCAUCCCGAUCCUGUCCUGGGCCACAGGGCAAGAGCAGGCCAGGCCAGCCCUGGGCCUGCUGCUGCAAGUGGCCAGCCUGAUGGGGCUCCUUCCCCGGACCCCAGCUGCCUCUCCAACCCUGCGGGGAGAGGAAGCCCCCCGAACUUCUGGAGAGUUCCAAGCAAGACAGGGCUACCUGGGCCUGAACCCCCGGCUGCCGUCCUGCUGCGCCCCCUGGUGGCGGGAACAGCCGGCGUCCUCGCCGGCACCGCAGUCCGGAGUCUCACCCUGCCGCGCGCCCUCUCCCUCCGCUCCCUGCUCAUCCUCCUUUCAUUUCUCUGCGCUCACCCCGCUUGGACGACUGCCCUGAGAAGGGGACACAGUGACCGUGACACGUUCCCUACUCCAAAGCUCUCCUCAGUCACUCGUUCACGCAGCGCCCUUGCUCGUACACGCAGCUCACGUGUCUGGAGCACCACGCCGACGGACACACAGCCUGCGGACAAGCAGCCUCGAUUCCACGGGUAGACACACGGUAUCGAAGAAACUUUAACUGCUUGAAGACAGCGCCUUGCCAAGUCUCCUGAGCACUCCUCAGCUUACUGAAGUGAC